rnacentral:rRNA from 1 species
GCGAACGCUGGCGGCAGGCUUAACACAUGCAAGUCGAACGGACCCUUCGGGGUUAGUGGCGGACGGGUGAGUAACACGUGGGAACGUACCCUUAGGUUCGGAACAACACAGGGAAACUUGUGCUAAUACCGGAUGUGCCCCUCACGGGGGAAAGAUUUAUCGCCUUUGGAGCGGCCCGCGUCUGAUUAGCUUGUUGGUGAGGUAAAGGCUCACCAAGGCUACGAUCAGUAGCUGGUCUGAGAGGAUGACCAGCCACAUUGGGACUGAGACACGGCCCAAACUCCUACGGGAGGCAGCAGUGGGGAAUCUUGCGCAAUGGGCGAAAGCCUGACGCAGCCAUGCCGGGUGGAUGAUGAAGGCCUUAGGGUUGUAAAGUCCUUUUAACGGGGAAGAUAAUGACGGUACCCGUAGAAUAAGCCCCGGCUAACUUCGU